rnacentral:snoRNA from 1 species
AACCCAUGAUGUGGAACAUCGAUUAAAAGAUCUUUGAACCUCUCCCAAUCUGCGUGUAGAGAUUCUCCUUCAUCCUGUUUGAAUGUCAAGAUACGAUCCUUAAGCUU